ensembl:snRNA U6 U6 spliceosomal RNA
GUGCUUAUUUCAGCAGAACAUAUACUGAAAUUGGACAGAUACAGAGAAGAUGAGCAUGGCUCCUCCAAAAGGAUGACUCCAAAAAUUCAUGAAGUGGUUCAUAAUUUU